AGUGCCCUCCACCCUUCCUGGUGUCUGACCCGCCUCCUUCCCAGGCCUUUUGUUCCUGUCCCGGAAAGCCGGCGUCCUGCCGCGCGAUGCCCCUGCUCGGACUUCUUCCCAGGAGGGCCUGGGCUUCGCUGCUCAGCCAGCUCCUGCGACCGCCCUGCGCUUCGUGCACCGGGGCGGUCCGUUGCCAAAGCCAGGUGAGCGAGACAGAAUUAUCUCUGGUCUGUCCCAGCAGGGUCUCCAGAUCUGAACGCAUAGCCUCGCGGCCUGUAUUCCAGUAGUGUUACAAUCGGUUUUUAUCGAGUGCCCACUAUGUACUGACACUGAACUAAGCGAUUUGGAUGCCUGGUCAUUUAAUCCUUGGAGCAAUCUUGAGAGGUUGGAGUUUUGAUUUCCAUUCUGCAGUUGAGGAAACGGAGGCUGCAAGAUUAAAUGAAUGACUUAUACACGGAUAUGUAGUUGCAGAGGCAGUGUUAACAUCCCAACUGAAAGCACAUCAAGAGAAACCAAAUUUUAUUAUCAAGACCCCAAAGGGUACCAGGGAUCUUAGUCCUCAGCAUAUGGUUGUGAGGGAGAAAAUUCUUGA
rnacentral:lncRNA from 10 species